UACGGAGGGAGCUAGCGUUAUUCGGAAUUACUGGGCGUAAAGCGCACGUAGGCGGCUUUGUAAGUAAGAGGUGAAAGCCUGGUGCUCAACACCAGAACUGCCUUUUAGACUGCAUCGCUUGAAUCCAGGAGAGGUGAGUGGAAUUCCGAGUGUAGAGGUGAAAUUCGUAGAUAUUCGGAAGAACACCAGUGGCGAAGGCGGCUCACUGGACUGGUAUUGACGCUGAGGUGCGAAAGCGUGGGGAGCAAACAGGAUUAGAUACCCCGGUAGUCC
rnacentral:rRNA from 1 species